rnacentral:misc_RNA from 1 species
GAGAUAAGGUCGGCAUCGAACGUAAACUGUAUGCUCUUGGAGGUUGAAAUUUACAGGAAACGUAAAAUCAGCAUCAACACAUGGCUCGAGUGUAGAAUGCACCAGAGUUUCAUCCAAAUCCAAAACAAGAGUCGUGGGAGGACAACUCCGAGUCUGUUUCGGUAGUAACAUAGGUCGAUAAGUUGGGACAACUGCUGAUAAAGCAGGUAGGUUCUUG